rnacentral:rRNA from 1 species
CGCGAAACCUCUGCAAUAGGCGAAAGCCUGACAGGGUUACUCUGAGUGAUUUCCGUUAAGGAGAUCUUUUGGCACCUCUAAAAAUGGUGCAGAAUAAGGGGUGGGCAAGUCUGGUGUCAGCCGCCGCGGUAAUACCAGCACCCCGAGUGGUCGGGACGUUUAUUGGGCCUAAAGCAUCCGUAGCCGGUUCUGCAAGUCUUCCGUUAAAUCCACCUGCUUAACAGAUGGGCCGCGGAAGAUACUAUAGAGCUAGGAGGCGGGAGAGGCAAGCGGUACUCGAUGGGUAGGGGUAAAAUCCGUUGAUCCAUUGAAGACCACCAGUGGCGAAGGCGGCUUGCCAGAACGCGCUCGACGGUGAGGGAUGAAAGCUGGGGGAGCAAACCGGAUUAGAUACCCGGGUAGUCCCAGCUGUAAACGAUGCAGACUCGGUGAUGAAUUGGCUUCAUGCCAAUUCAGUGCCGCAGGGAAGCCGUUAAGUUUGCCGCCUGGGGAGUACGGUCGCAAGACUGAAACUUAA